GUCGAACGGCAGCACAGAGGAACUUGGUCCUUGGGUGUGGAGAGUGGGACAGGGGAGGAAAAUAUCGGAAACUCCUCUGUGUCGGGGGAUAUCAUAUGGGAAAUUUUACUCUUACCCCGCACAACCUCUAGGGGAGAACGCGGGACAUUUUCGGCUUGUGCGAUUGUGUGAGACCAUAUGUGAUAUUCUCUUUGUGGGGGUAAAGGCGCCCCCCGGGGACAAUACCCAUCUGUGGUGAGAGAAGAAGAUCCCCCACUGUGGCUGAGACACGGUCCCCACACUCCCACGGGGGGCCACUGUGGAAAAUUGUGCAAUGUGGGCGCGCCUGAGACCCCCCUAUCCCGUGUGUGAAAAAAGCGUUCUCGUUGUGAAAACCUUUUUUGGUGAAAAAAAUCUCCCUGUGUAUUACCCCCUUGUGAUAACACUACCCCCAAAAAAUACACCCCGUAUAUUUUCGCGCCCACCCCCGCUAAUACACAAGGGGCGCACGUUUCUCUCAAAUUCUGUGGGUAUAACGUGUGUAUGUGGGCUCUUAUAUCUCCUGUGAGAACCCUGUGGUCUCACUGUGAACACUGCUGUGUACUGUGCGACACUAGAGUGUGAUAGAGUAUCGCAAAUCCUGUUGUGUAACUGUGAUGUGUAUAGAUAUCGAGAAGAAUCUCUGUGGAAAGCGCCUAUACGUGCACCCACUGUGACUCUGACGCGAAAACGUGUGGAGAGCACACGAUAAUAUAUCCUGUGGUUCCCCACCCUCUACAAUGU
rnacentral:rRNA from 1 species